rnacentral:rRNA from 1 species
AUUGAACGCUGGCGGCAGGCUUAACACAUGCAAGUCGAGCGCGAAAGUUCUUCGGAAUGAGUAGAGCGGCGGACGGGUGAGUAACGCGUGGGAAUCUACCUAGUAGUGGGGGACAACAGUCGGAAACGACUGCUAAUACCGCAUACGCCCUAAGGGGGAAAGCAGGGGAAUCUUCGGACUUGUGCUAUUAGAUGAGCCCGCGUCAGAUUAGCUUGUUGGUGGGGUAAUGGCCCACCAAGGCGACGAUCUGUAGCUGGUCUGAGAGGAUGAUCAGCCACACUGGAACUGAGACACGGUCCAGACUCCUACGGGAGGCAGCAGUGGGGAAUAUUGCACAAUGGGCGAAAGCCUGAUGCAGCCAUGCCGCGUGUGUGAAGAAGGCUCUAGGGUUGUAAAGCACUUUAAGUGGGGAGGAAAGGUUGUAGAUUAAUACUCUGCAACUGUGACGUUACCUACAGAAGAAGCACCGGCUAACUCCGUGCCAGCAGCCGCGGUAAUACGGAGGGUGCAAGCGUUAAUCGGAAUUACUGGGCGUAAAGCGCGCGUAGGCGGCUACAUAAGUUGGAAGUGAAAGCCCCGGGCUCAACCUGGGAACUGCUUUCAAAACUGUGUGGCUUGAGUACAGCAGAGGAUAGUGGAAUUUCUAUUGUAGCAGUGAAAUGCGUAGAUAUAAGAAGGAAUACCAGUGGCGAAGGCGGCCCUCUGGACUGAUACUGACGCUGAGGUGCGAAAGCGUGGGGAGCAAACGGGAUUAGAUACCCCGGUAGUCCACGCCGUAAACGAUGUCUACUAGCCGUUGGGAGACUUGAUCUCUUAGUGGCGCAGCUAACGCAAUAAGUAGACCGCCUGGGGAGUACGGUCGCAAGAUUAAAACUCAAAUGAAUUGACGGGGGCCCGCACAAGCGGUGGAGCAUGUGGUUUAAUUCGAUGCAACGCGAAGAACCUUACCAAGACUUGACAUCCUAGAAAUUUAGCAGAGAUGCUUUAGUGCCUUCGGGAAUCUAGUGACAGGUGCUGCAUGGCUGUCGUCAGCUCGUGUUGUGAAAUGUUGGGUUAAGUCCCGUAACGAGCGCAACCCUUGUCCUUAGUUGCUGCAGGUAAUGCUGGGAACUCUAAGGAGACUGCCGGUGACAAACCGGAGGAAGGUGGGGACGACGUCAAGUCAUCAUGGCCCUUACGACCUGGGCUACACACGUGCUACAAUGGACAGUACAAAGGGUUGCCAAGCCGCGAGGUGGAGCUAAUCUCAUAAAACUGUUCGUAGUCCGGAUCGGAGUCUGCAACUCGACUCCGUGAAGUCGGAAUCGCUAGUAAUCGUGAAUCAGAAUGUCACGGUGAAUACGUUCCCGGGCCUUGUACACACCGCCCGUCACACCAUGGGAGUGGGUUGCACCAGAAGUAGGUAGCUUAACCUUCGGGGGAGCGGUCACCACGGUGUGAUUCAUGACUGGGGUG